rnacentral:rRNA from 1 species
GACGAACGCUGACAGCAUGCUUAACACAUGCAAGUCUAAGGCAAAUCUCUGCCUGUUCAGGCUAGCUAAGGUGGCGGAGUGAGUAACAAGAAAAGAAUAACCCCCGCAGACCGGGAUAACAGACGCAAACAACUGAUAAUAAUAGCUACAAUUACCGCCACGCACGUGCGGGGCAAUGGAAAGAGAUGCCGCAGGAGAGCUUUGUGUCCUAUUAGCAUGUUGUUGAGGUGGCGGCGCACUAAGGCGAUGUUAGGUAGUCGGCCUGAGAGGGUGAAGGGCCACAAGGGGACUGAGAUACGGCCCUUACUCCUACGGGAGGCAGCAGUGGGGAAUAUUGGACAAUGGGGGCAACCCUGAUCCAUCAAUUCUGUGUGCACGAAGAAGGUUUUCGGAUUGUAAAGUGCUUUCAGCAGGGAAGAAGAAAGUGACGGUACCUGCAGAAGAAGCGACGGCUAAAUACGUG